AGUGAACGCUGGCGGUAGGCCUAACACAUGCAAGUCGAACGGAAGCACAGUAAGAGCUUGCUCUUACGGGUGGCGAGUGGCGGACGGGUGAGGAAUAAAUCGGAAUCUACUUUUUCGUGGGGGAUAACGUAGGGAAACUUACGCUAAUACCGCAUACGACCUACGGGUGAAAGCAGGGGAUCUUCGGACCUUGCGCGAUUGAAUGAGCUGAUGUCGGAUUAGCUAGUUGGCGGGGUAAAGGCCCACCAAGGCGACGAUCCGUAGCUGGUCUGAGAGGAUGAUCAGCCACACUGGAACUGAGACACGGUCCAGACUCCUACGGGAGGCAGCAGUGGGGAAUAUUGGACAAUGGGCGCAAGCCUGAUCCAGCCAUACCGCGUGAGUGAAGAAGGCCUUCGGAUUGUAAAGCCCUUUUGUUGGGAAAGAAAAGCAGCAGGUUAAUACCCCGCUGUUCUGACGGUACCCAAAGAAUAAGCACCGGCUAACUUCGUG
rnacentral:rRNA from 1 species